CUGGUCUAAGGAUCCUUAAAUUCUCUCAACUAGAAUCAGGAUUGGUCUCUGAUCCUGGAGCAAGACUGAGCCUGAAGUGCAUGGGGGUUGGAGGUCUGCAGGGCAGAAGGGUGGACAGGUCAUUAUCUCCAGUUCAGUCUCAUAGAUGUUCUAUGCUUUCAUUGCCUGAUUGCUGGACUCGCACCGAAGCCCCGGCUUCUACAAGAAAAACGGUCUCACCUUGCGUUCUAUCAAUAGCACCAAAGGGAGUCUUCAUUUCCAAAGGUUGAUGUUAAUCCUAUCCUGGAGUCAGCUGACUUCUGAAGCUCCUGGACCAACCCUUUAAUCUGCCCUCCAGGUAUAUCCCAGAAAACAAGACUUCAUAUUCUUCAAUGUAAUUUUCAUCAUAAGGUCAGUUGAAAGAAACCUUAUCUGAAAAAUAAUUUUCCAUUCCUCUAUGGUCUAAAUAUUAUUAUUAGAUGAAAUGAAAUUAUCAAAGCAAGAGAUUCAUAAAGAUGUGCUUCUUGGUUGCUUGUGAAAGUGGUUUUAUUGACUGGUCAUCGGUCAUUAUUUUCUUCAAUUUAAUUGUUCACAUAAAGAUAAAAAUAAUUUUAAGGAACAAACGUGAUUAUUACAUCAAUAUGACAACAUUGUCUAUUAAAGUCAUUCCGCCAAGGUUUGAGUGACUACAUUUUGCCAUAGUUUAGGUUCUAAGGAUGCAAUAGUGAACGAGGCACAGUCCCCAUUCUCAGACAGGUAAACAGGAAAAUGGUUCAUAGGGUGGUACACGCACCAUAGCGAGUGAAAGCCCUUAACAUGUUUAGGAGUUCCCAAAGUCCAAAACUACCCUCCUUUCUGAUACCAAUUGCAAGUUUGGGGGACUCCAAUAUCACCUCAGGAUUAAUAACCUGCUACAAGUAAAAAACUCACAGAAAGCUGUUUUAUGUGAGUUUAUGGCUUAUAAUUAUGGCUUAUCAUAGCAAAAAUGAAAAGAAAAUAAAGAAAAUCAGCCAAGAGAAGGAGUGCA
rnacentral:lncRNA from 13 species